AUUGAACGCUGGCGGAAUGCUUUACACAUGCAAGUCGAACGGCAGCACGGACUUCGGUCUGGUGGCGAGUGGCGAACGGGUGAGUAAUGUAUCGGAACGUGCCCAGUCGUGGGGGAUAACGUAGUGAAAAUUACGCUAAUACCGCAUACGAUCUAUGGAUGAAAGCGGGGGAUCGCAAGACCUCGCGCGAUUGGAGCGGCCGAUAUCAGAUUAGGUAGUUGGUGGGGUAAAGGCCCACCAAGCCAACGAUCUGUAGCUGGUCUGAUAGGACGAACAGCCACACUGGAACUGAGGCACGGUCCAGACGACUACGGGAGGCAGCAGUGGGGAAUUUUGGACAAUGGGCGAAAGCCUGAUCCAGCCAUUCCGCGUGCAGGAUGAAGGCCCUCGGGUUGUAAACUGCUUUUGUACAGAACGAAAAGGUUUCUACUAAUACUAGGAGCUCAUGACGGUACUGUAAGAAUAAGCACCGGCUAACUACGUGCCAGCAGCCGCCGUAA
rnacentral:rRNA from 1 species